AGGUUGAGAUGAUGUCACAAUGGAAAAUGGGCCAAAGGAGUAUAUGCCAAUACUACUCAAAGUGUGGUCUGGGGUACACUGCUCAUUCAUGAAUUGUUUCUUGAUGGUCCACAAUGACGUAAAGUUUCAGACAACUCACAAGACUCUACAUGUAUGGCAGAAUGCUCAUUCUUUUCAUCGUGUGCUACCACCACAUUUGAGGGUCUUCUCUCUGUCCGCCACUGAAUAACUUACAUUCGUUCACCCAACUAGUAAAGAAACACGUUCUCUCCAAGAUCGUCAGAUUCCCUUUGGCCUUCAGAGAGCUGGAUUCCUGGGUAUUGGAAAAAGCCCACAGCCACGUUCAUUUCCAGUAGUCUUGAUUUGUGAACUCUUCUCUAAAAUCCACAAAAACUCCUAAGCUCUGGGGCAAAAGGAACUGUGUCUGGCUAUGAGUCAGGACCAGCAACAGACAUUUCCAUAGUACUAUUCUCCAAGAACCUAGAGUGGUGCUUUGAACAGGUUCCAUGCUCAAUCAAGAUAAAGGAUCUGAGUUUCAGAGAGAUUAAGUGAAUUGCCCAAGCAAUUCAAUGAAACCAACCAUUCAGAUUUUCAACCAAAUUAUAUCAGACUCAACCUCUUGCUGUUUAUACCAAACCUACUAGAACUCCUUGCUCCUCAUGGAAAGAGGAAAUAGUGCCAGUCUUGGACUCAAAAGAAAAGGAGCACUAGUACAAUUAUGAGUGCCUAUGAUUCACAAGAACAGCUCUUUUAUGUUGGCUGUAAUAAUGCCAUUCUGGGUAAUGGACCAGACAGAAAGGAAGAAAACGCAGGACCAGAAGAGCCACAAACAACAUUUCAGGAUCAGCGUAACGGUUGCCAGAACAUGAAAAAUCGCAGAGCUUCCAGGCCCUGAGCCAACCUUAUUCAGGACUCAGGGGGGAAAAAACCAGUCUGGGUAAAUUCUCAGUGUAAACUCCUAGGGGAGCACAUCGCUAUGUCAGCCUAAAGAGAGGAUGAACCCCUGCACCUCUGUCUCGGCUUACUGUUAUUCCACCCCCAGAAAAAU
rnacentral:lncRNA from 1 species